rnacentral:lncRNA from 1 species
CCCCAUCUUUCUCCUCUCUCUGCCUUUCUCUGUCUCUACUACUCACUCAACCCCCCUCCCCAUGCCCUUAAUAAACUCUACUUCAGGGGGAAGGGCUGCCUCAGCAUGGGGCCUGCAAAGGCACCCCCUUCCCCUGCACCAUACUGCGCUUCUACCAAACAUCUCUGGCUUCUUUUUCCUUUUUGUAAAACACAACAAAGGUGACAUUUUAAAUCUGAACACUUUAGUAAUUCACUUGUUUCCAAUCUUUGUCAUUGACUUUAGAUGCCAAACUUGUGGUUACACUAAUAAAAUCAUUGAAAGAUGGCAAACGGUACCCAGCAUCUGGGCCUAUGGCAUCCGGGACUGGAGGGGGCUGCUCUGUGCAUCCUGGAGGUUUUGCCCUCACCUGCAUCAGCCACAAGGCUGAGGAAGGCUUGAGAACCUUGUGGAAUUAUCUGUGGUAUCUUGAGCCAAAUUAUCCUGAUAUCCCUGAGUGGUUUGCAUAGAAGCGGAUGAUUUCCCCCAAGGCUACAGUGACCUCCUUGUUCUGCACAAAGCAGGUUAAACACCCUACCAUGUUGUAAGACUACCUCAGCCAAGAGUCAACGAUUCUGUUAAUUUUGCAAUGGACUUUUCUCAUGCAAAUAAAUUUUAUAAAAUAAAUGCAAAUGGGUCCUAUUUGAGGUCCUAAGUUUUUGUAGUCGACAUCAGCCAUUGCUCUGCCUGUUGCCCUGAGGGUGGCUCAAGCUGCUCCCAAUCCUAAAUUUACUAUGCAGGAUAGAAGGGCCUGUGUCUGUGCAUACGUGUGUUCUCUCCCUACUGGGACAUUAUAACGGCACAUCCAAGGAACAGGGAUGUCAAGACAGACUUUUGGGGAUUAAUGCACCUGCCAAAUAGAAAAGCAAGGGGUGCCACCCAUCAGCACACUUGUAAAACAAUCAGUUUCAACCUCGAGGUGAAGAAAGGAACACUCACCUGGAGAAGUGAUGGCUGGCAGUGAUGAGACAC